GAGUGGGUCCAAAUUGCACAUAAGGCUUCCAAUACCCUGAAGAUAAAUGGGAUGACGGAACAAUAACCAGCAGCCAGAACAAUGAAUCAGAUAUGCAGGAAGCCAGAUGAAUGCAGGUGUGUACAAAGCCAGCUACAACAGAGUUUGCCAAAGCUCUUAAGGUGUUCUACCAAAGCAUGAAUGUGGCAAGAGGGCAGUUUCUCAAAUUGAGACAUUAUAAACCUCCUGUGAGUAACCAGAGUCCUGGAUCAAAAGGAAUUUUUUUCCACUAAAUGUAGAUAUUUGAUAGAAAUGCAUUUCAUGAGCUCAGGGAGGAGCGUAUGUUUAAAUAGAAGAGCAGGUCAAAGCCUGGAACAGUGUGAGUCUACACAUCUCAGGCCUCCAUCCAUUGCUCCCAUUUUUUACUUUAGUAUUCCUCUGGCUGGUUCAGGGAGCCAUGCCAUUGCAGGAUUGAUAUUCAUUCACUUUGGGUUUUUUCAUUUGUUUGUUUAACUUUAAAAAAAUUAUAGUUGAUUUACAGUGUUCUCAAUUUCUGAUGUACAGCAGAGUGACCCAGUUAUACAAAUAUAUACAUUCUUUUUCUCAUAUUAUCUUCUAUCAUGUUCCAGUCCAAGUGAUUAGAUAUAGUUCUCUGUGCUAUAUAGCAGGAAUUCAUUGCUUAUCCACUCCAAAUGCAAUACUUUGCAUCUACUAACCCCAAACUCCCAGUCCAUCCCAUUUGCUCCCCUUAGGCAACUGCAGUUCCAUUCUCUAUGUCCAUUCACUUCUGUUCUAUAGAUAGGUAUGUUUGUGCAAUAUUUUAGAUUCCACAUAUAAGUGAUAUCAUAUGGUGUUUAUCUUUCUCUUUCUGACUUCGCUUGGUAUGAGAAUCUCUAGUUCCAUCCAUGUUGUUGCAAAUGGCAUUCUUUUUUUAUGGCUAAGUAGUAUUCUAUCAUGUACUUGUCCCACUUCUCAAUCCAUUCAUCUGUCAAUGGACACUGAGGUUGUUUCCAUGUCUUAUCUAUUGUGAACAGUGCUGCAAUGAACAUAUGGGAGCAUGUCUUUUUCAAUGAUAGUUUUGUCCAGAUAUAUGUUCAGGAGUGGGAUUGCUGGAUUAUGUGGUAGUUCUAGAUGUAGUUUUCUGAGGUACCUCCAUACUGUUUCCCCAUAGUGGCUGUACCAAUUAACAUUCCCAUCAACAGUGUAGGAGGGUUCCCUUGUCUUCACACCCUCUCCAGAAUUUGAUUUAUUAAUGACAGUCAUGCUGACUGGUGUGAGAUGGUACCUCAUUGUAGUUCUGAUUGAUAUUUCUCUAAUAUUUAGUGAUGUUGAGGAUUUCUUCAUGUGCCUGUUGUCUAUCUGUAUGUCUUCUUUGGUGAAAUGUCUAUUUAGGUCUUCUGCCCAUUUUUCAUUUGGGUUGUUUUUUUGUUGUUGAGUUGUAAGAGCUGUUUGUAUAUUUUGGAGAUUAAGCCCUUGAUGAUUAGUAGUUUGCAGCUAUUUUCUCCCAUUCUGUACACAUUGCCUUUUUAUUUUAAUGGCUUCCUUUACUGUGCAAAAAGGCUUGUAAUAUGAUUAGGUGCCAUUGGUUUGUUUUUAUUUCUAUUGCUUUGGGAGACUGACCUAAGAAAACAUUUGUACAGUUGAUAUCAGAGAAUGUUUUGCUUAUGUUCUCUUCCAGGGGUUUUAUGGUGUCUUGUCUUAUGUUUAAGUCUUUAAGCCAAUUUGAGUUUAUUUUUGUGCAUGGUGUGAGGGUGUGUUCUAGUUUCAUUGCUUUACAUGCAGCUAUCCAGUUUUCCCAGCACCACCUGCUAAAGAGAUUAUCUUUUCCCCAUUUUAUAUUCUUGCCUCCUUUUGUCAAAGGUUAAUUGACCAUAGAUGUCUGGGUUUAUUUCUUUGUUGUUUAUUGUUCCAUUGGUCUGUCUGUUUUUGUACCAGUACCACUGUCUUAAUUACUAUAGCUUUGUAACACUGUCUGAACUCUGGGAGAUUUAUGCCUCCUGCCUGGUUUUCCCCCUCAGGAUUGUUUUGGCAAUUUGUGGUCUUUCAUGGCUCCAUAUAAAUUUUUGGAUUGUUUGUUCUAGUUCUGUGAAAAAUGUCAUGGGUAAUUUGAUGGGGAUUGCAUUGACUCUGUAGAUUGCUUUGGGUAGGGUAGCCAUUUUAAUGAUAUUAAUUCUUCCAUUUAGGAGCAUGGAAUAUCUUUCCAUUUCUUUGAAUCCUCUUUUAUUUCUUUGAGGAAUGUUUUAUAGUUCUCAGCAUAUAAAUCUUUCACCAUAAUCAGCUUUCCUCCUAGGUAUUUACUUUUUUGGGUGUGAUUUUUAAAAGGUAUUGUAUUUUUAUAUUCCUUUUCUAAUACUUCAGUUAGAAAUCAGUUGCAUUUCUGUACACUGAGUGUUACUCUUAUAUCCUGCUACUUUGCUGAAUUCAUUGAUCACUGCGAGUGGUUUUUGUAUGGAGUACUUUACCUCUUCUUUCCAAUAAAUGCCUUUUAUUUCUCUUGUUUAUUGGACUACUUGUGGCUAAGACUUCCUAUACUAUGUUGAAUAAAAGUGGUAAGAGUGGGCAUCCUUGUCUUAUUCCAGAUUUUAGUGGGAAGGCUUUCAACUUUUCUCUAUUGAGUAUUAUAUUGGCUGUGGGGGUCAUAAAUGGCUUUGAUUAUGUUAAGGAAUGUUCCCUCUAUACCCACUUUGGUAAGAGUUUUAUCAUGAAUGGAUGCUGAAUUUUGUCAAAUGCUUUUUCUGCAUCUAUUGAGAUGAUCAUGAGGUUUUUUACUUUUCUUUUGUUAAGAUGGUGAUCUAUGACUGAUUGAUUUGCCUAUGUUGAAUCAUCCUUGUGAACUUGGGAUGGAUUCCACAUGGUCAUGGUGUAUGAUCUUUUUUAUAUGUUGUUGGAUUUGGUUGGCUACAAUUUUGUUGAAAAUUUUUGCAUCUAUAUUCAUCAAAGAUAUUAGCAUAUAAAUUUCUUUCUUGGUAGUAUCUUUGGUUUGGGUAUUAGGGUGGUGGCUUCCUAAAUUGUGUCUGGGAGUAUUCCUUCUUCAAUCUUUUGAAAAAGUUUAGGAAGGAUGGGUAUAAGCUCUUCUUUGUAUGUUUGACAGAAUUUGCCCGUGAAGCCAUCUGGUCCAGGAUUUUUGUUUGUAGGGAGUGUUUUUAUUACAUAUUCAACUUCAUUUCUAGUGAUCGGUCUGUUCAGUUGAUCUAUUUCUUCUUGAUGCAGUUUCAGUGGGCUGUAUGUCACUAGAAAGUUGUCCACUUCUAGGUUGUCAAUUGUUAUAAUUGUUCAUAGCCUUCUCUCGUGGUUUUUGUAUUGCUGCAGUAUCCAUUGAGAUUUCUCCUUUUUUGUUAACUCAAUGAAUUUUAUGACAUUUAUAGUUGUACAGUGAUCAUCACAACCCAACUUUACAGCAUUUCCACCCCAAACCCCCAUCCCUCCCACGCCCAACCUGUCUCCUUUGGUAACUAAGCUUUUCAAAGUCUUAGUGAGUCAGUAUCUGUUCUGCAAAGAUGUUCAGAAUUUGCCUGUGAAACAAAUUCUGUAUUUAUUUUUUAGACUCCAUAUAUAAGUAUAGCAUAUGACACUGGUGUCUCACUGUCUAACUUCACUUAGAAUGGUAAUUUCUAUGUCCAUUCAUGUUGUUGCAAAUGCCAUUAUUUCAAUCCUUUUUAGUGGCUAACAUUCCACUGUGUAUAUGUAGUACAUCUUCUUGAUCCACUUCUCUAUUGAUGGACAUUUAGGUUGUUUCCAUGUCUUGCCUAUUAUGUAUAGUGCUGCAGUGAACAUUGGAGUGCAUAUAUCUUUUCAAUUCAUGGUUUUCUUUGGAUAGAUGUCCAGGAGUGGGACUGUAGGAUCAAAUGGUAAUUCAUUAGUUUUCUAAGGAAUCUCCAUACUGUUUUCCACAGUAGUUGCACCAAUUUACAUUCCCACCAACAGUAUAAUACAGUUCCCUUUUCUCCACCCCCUCUCCAGUAUUUAUUGUUUGUAGACUUUUUGAUGAUGGC
ensembl:lncRNA